rnacentral:rRNA from 1 species
UACGUAGGGGGCAAGCGUUGUCCGGAAUCAUUGGGCGUAAAGAGCGUGUAGGCGGCUCGGUAAGUCCGCUGUGAAAGUCCAGGGCUCAACCCUGGAAUGCCGGUGGAAACUGUCGAGCUAGAGUCCGGAAGAGGCGAGUGGAAUUCCUGGUGUAGCGGUGAAAUGCGCAGAUAUCAGGAGGAACACCAAUGGCGAAGGCAGCUCGCUGGGACGGUAUUGACGCUGAGACGCGAAAGCGUGGGGAGCAAACAGG